UGCUGUAUGUGGAUUUCUAACAACAUGAUAAAACAUUCUCAAGAAUAACUUUGUUUCAUCACUAUUUAAAAACCUUGGUGCCUCCCAAACACAGCACAGAAAUCGAGCAGAGGAGAUAGACUUUGGAGACAAAACACACCAACUAAAACGUAUCGUCGUGCACAAACAUGUUACCAGAAACAAUGGAAUAAGAUCAACAAUAUGUAUUAGAAAACUUCUGAAACUAUAUCAUAAGAACACCACCCAAAAACCCAAGGUGUCCCUUUUCUCUCAGCAAUCCCUGGGCAAUCAAGGGAGACUACUUCCUCUUGAUACUCAGGCUGAAAACAAUGGUUCAAAGAAGAUUAAUUCCAAGGAUUUUUGAACAGGUCUAUGCUAGCCAUCUUAAACUGCGAUAGCAAUGGAGCAAGCCGUACAACUUGACAGGUCAACAACAUCAUGACAUGGCGGUGCCAACCGCAGCCGCUCCUCGCGGCACAACAUGGUGCCCUGCCCCUCACACCGCGCCACUGCCGCACUCUUACCUUACCAGGGGCCACAGACCCUGCCGGAUUCUGGAAGUGUCAGCCUCAAAAGAAAGCACAGCCCAAGCCGCUGCUCACUUCACCUUGCUCUCCCUGCAGACAGCACGGCAGCCCACAGCCAAGUAGUGCCAGCGCUGGAAGCUUCCUGAAGGUGGGCGGCAACCGGGGCGGCACAGCCGGGCCUUGCCUCACAGUGGCCCGCAUGCUGUCCCUGCGCUGUGGCUGCCCAGCUGCUGGCAGGCGUUUUCGUGGCUUCUGCAAGCAACUUGUGCAGGACUUGUGCAGAGGGACAAUCUGUCAUGAAAAUACCAGGAGACAGAAACAUACCUCUGUGCAGUCCCUUCAAUUGUUCACUGCAGACACAAAGGAUAGAGCAAAGGUGCAAAACUGUUGUCUGUUGGAAUAUGCCUCUCAUGGACUUGGCUGUUGUAGAAAUCCCCUGUCACGACAGCUCAGCGAAACAGGUAUGAGAAGGAUUGACAGCCAGGCUUAAUCCGUGUGCCAUCAACACGACGUAAACCAAACUGCAUGCUGCUUUUGUAUUUUGUCCCUUUGUUGCUUAUGUAUGCCUUAUUUCCCAUUUUAUUAAAAAAAAAUAUGUUGAUAAAUAAGUGUAUUAGAGUUGUGGCCUUAAUCUCCUCAGCUUUGUGCUGCACUGCGGCUGGGACACGAACCCUCUUUGUGGGUGAUGUUCUGUUCGUGCAUAAUGAGGCACCGCUGCUGCACGGAUAUAUAUGGGACCAGGAAAAACGAAGUGACAACUUAUUUCACUAAAUUCCUAGAAUUUAGUACCCAACAUAGUAAAAUACAAUGGGCGAUUGGUCAAACUCGGGCAACUGAAAUACAACGUGGAAACGUAACCUAGAAGAAAAGGAAUUACGUCUGGUCUGUGGUAUUUUAGCGUGGUUAAUGGCCAUGCAAUUGUUCAUUCUGGUCCAUGUUCAAAGCCUCUCAUUGAAUAUAUGAGUUAACAGGUAAAAAUGGAGGCACUUCACUGAAUGACUGGGGAUUUUUACAAGGUGUUUUUAGAACUCUCUCAUCCUCUCCCUGCAUACCUUUUUCAGAGAGAUUGUGGUGUUUAAACUAUAUUUAGCGAUAAAAGUGAGACAUUACCUACAUCCUGCUAUAGCGGAGAAGGUAAAUCAAGGCUUUCACAUCCAUUUCCAAACUACUUUUAAAGGCCACACGCAGAAGAUUAGGCUCUUAGGGUUAAGUGCAAGUUUUCUCGUUCAGCAGAACAGCGCCUAGAACUGCCUCCUCACCCCAGAGCGGAGCACAGCGAAAACGCUAUUUACCAGCAAUUACUGCCUUCACUAAGAAGCGCCUACUGCAGGCAUCUGGCAAAGCGCUGCCAGUAACUCCAGGUCCCCCAGUCGCUAACCCCGGCGCGGACGCCGAGCUCUCCCCGGAGCGGGUACCGCACGGCCGCGCCUCCCCGGCCGCUCUGCCCCGCGCAGCCCCCGGCCGAGGGCCCGGCCCCAGCCCCGAGGCGC
ensembl:lncRNA